UAUUGAUCCUUUCAGAGUAAAAUGUUUAAUUAUACAGUAAGCAUACUCACAUGCAGACACAGACAAUCUCACUGACACACACAAGCUCAUUGAUACACAUCCUCAUAGACAAAAAAUGUCACUGAUAUACAUAAGUUAAUUGGCAUAAAAACACAAGCUCACUCACUCACUAGCAGGCACACACACACACACACACACACACGCAAGCAAGCUCACUCACUAGCAGGCGCACACACACACACACACACACACGCAAGCAAGCUCACUCACUAGCAGGCGCACACACACACAGGUUAAUGUAGUGGUUCUGGUGUCUAUAGCCUGACCCUGCAGGCUUUUCAAUGUAAACACUGACUUUUCCGAGAAAUAGCAGUGUUUACAUUGCUUCCUAGUGACACGUCUAGUGACAGUCACUCAGACAGUCACUAGAGGUGCUUCCUGUGUCAGUGCUGCACAGUGUGAUUGCACAGUGUGCAGCACCUACAUUCAGGGUCUUUGCAGCCAAUCCUAUGGCAGAGAAUUAGCAUUGAUGAUCUCAGCCAUAGAGGCAGGACCAGUCGUGAGGAGACCAGCACGGCGUAAGAAAAAAAAAAGGUGAGUAAAAACACUUUUUAAAUACACACAGGCACACACAUACACCAUGACAGACACACACAAAUAAACCAUGAUAGACACACACACACCAUGACACAGACACAUCAUGGCACAGACACACACACACCAUGACACAGACACACCAUGACACAGACACACCAUGACACAGACACACCAUGACACACACAUCAUGACACGGACACACACACCAUGACACACACACACACCAUGACACAGACACACCAUGAAACAGACACACACACACACCAUGACACAGACACACACCAUGACACAGGCACACACCAUGACACAAACACACCAUGACACACACAUCAUGACACAGACACACACACACCAUGACACAGACACACCAUGACACAGGCACACACACACACACCAUGACACAGACACACACCAUGACACAGACACACACAUACACACACAGGCACACACCAUGACACAGACACACUCCAUGGCACAGACACACACACCAUGACACAGACACCAUGACACAGACCAUGACACAGACACACACACCAUGACACAGACACACCAUGACACAGACACACACACCAUGACACAGACACACCAUGACACAGACACAGACCAUGACACAGACACACACACACCAUGACACAGACACAGACACACCAUGACACAGACACAGACCAUGACACAGACACACACACCAUGACACAUACACUCACACUGACAGAAUGACACAUAUUACCUGUGGGUGACCGGCUGGGUGUGCUAGUGCCCGUAGGGGGAGCUCUGAUGGCUGCAUAGGGCGAACUGUUGGCGGCCGCUGGGGGAGCUGUUCUGUCUCUGCUCCCCCGCCCUCGUGCGCAGCUUAAUGAGACCGGGGCUGGAAGAUGACAUCAUAUUCCGGCCCCGGUAUCAUUAAGCUGCGCGCUGGGGAGCAGAGACAGAACAGCUCCCCCUGCGGCCGCCAGCAGACCCAGGUGCUGACGGCCCACCGGGAAAUUUCCCGGUAUCCCGGUGGGCAGUCCGGCCUUGCUCCAGAGCUUGUGACACUUAUCUACUUAAAAAAAGGCAGUUAGCUACUUCUUAGACCACCUACCACGUUAGUACUCGUGGUUGCCUGCGUAUAGAAAUGCACAUGUACCCUACUCAUGCUGACUGCUAUACCUCUGUGCAGUUUCCACUCUGUAUUGUUCAUACAAUUGUCGAUAUGACAUAUCUAACCAUAUUACCUUUCAUGGCACCAGACUUAUCUCUUACUCCUAUCUCAUACGCUUGUUUUAAUUUUAAACAUCACAUGACUCACAACGUCUAGGACACUGCUACUAACCUAAUCAGUGGACAAGCUCCUACAGCUAAGCACGCUUUGACGUACAUUACACUACUGUCCAAUCUUCUUAAAUUUUAAAAAUGUGCACUGACAAUUCAUGCCAUACAACUGUCUUUCUAUGAAUAUGUAAACUCUGGCAUAAGCUAUUGUGGCAUUGCUGGCGUAGAUGUUAUAUGUCUAAUAUAUGCAUGAUAAAAUAAAGAAUUUUUAAAAAAUUCCUUUUCUAAGUUUGGCUUUAGAUAGAGAAAAAGCCUUUGAUAGGGUCAAUUGGAACUGUUAUUAAAUACACUAAAGGCUUUCAGAUUUUCUGGGAAAAUUCUAUCAGCUUUUUCAGCGAUGGAUUAUUCUCUCUCCGGUAGAGUAGUGGGCCAGGGAAUGGAAUUAAAUCAAACUGGUCUGAAAUAACCAAUGGAACCCAUCAUGGAUGCCCUCUUACUCCGCUGCUUUAUGUAACUGCCGCAGAACCUUUGGCCAUGGAUAUAAGGUUAGUCAUACAAAUUAACUCAGGCAUUUGUUACUAAUCUUAUGUGACAUUCAAAAAAUGUAGACAGCAAAAACCCAAUGAAGUAUUGUGCAAAUAGAUUUCUUUUCAAAAAAAUUAAAUUACAUUCUCAACUACAAAAAAAAAAAGAAAAAAAAUUUCUAGGAUGGUACCCACUGUAAAGCGCAGCGGAAUUUGUUGGUGCUAUAUAAAUAAUAACAUAAUAAUAACCGGGUGUGGACGGAAGCAAUGACAAUAUUACAUCUAAAUAUAUCAUCUCUACUGAAAAAAGGCAAAACUAUUUUGAUCCAUAUUUUAAUGGCCUUUAAAAGCUCUGUUGCUAUAAAUUGGAAAACUUCUUAGGUUGAAUCGUGGCAACAAAUUAAAGAGCGUGUCAAAUUCCAAUGUAAAAUGGAACGAGAAAUCGCCUCUAAUUUGUGAAUUAAUCGAGAGAAAUACUGUAUUUGGGACAACUGGUUAAAGAUCUUAGGAGCGACGUGAUAAAGGGCAGUUGAAACACUGAGAUGAACUGAGUUGAGUAUAUAAUAUUCUCCUUUCUUUCAUAUGACCAUGCCCUCCCUCACUGCAUUUAGGUGAUUCAAGUAAUGGGGUUAUCUUCACACGUUAUGUCCAUAUAUGUAAGUGUACAUUGUAUAUGUAAGCUUGAUAUAAUAUAUGAUAAUGAAUAAUGUAUGUAUUUAUAUUUUGAAAACCAAUAAAAAU
rnacentral:lncRNA from 1 species